GGAAAGAUAACAAACAUAUCCUUGCAGAGCCUAUGGUGUGGGCCAUGAACCGUCCUCUCCCCAAGCCUUUACUUAUAUUCCCAGGCCAACUCCUUUAAAAGAUGGGUCACAGCAUUAUUGUCUCUAAUGUACAAAGAAUUAGUUGUGGCUCCUAGAGUUAACUAACUAGUCAAAUUUACACCAGGAGAAGUGGCUGGGAAAACAAGGUGGGCUCAGAUAUGUUUCACUCCAAAUUCAUGGUCUUCCCAUCACACCUGCAAUGGAUUCACCAACACACAGAGGAUAGUGAAAGUCUCAGUUUAUUUUCUAGUUAGAUUACUAACUUUGUUUACAUGAGGCAACGCACUGUCAUCAAGAAAAAAGAAGACAACAAAGAAGAGAACUGUUUUGCAAUAGCAGGCAGCACAGCGCAGGAGCUCUCAGACUACCUCAGAUGCCAAGAGCCUGGUUUGAAUACAAGCCUUGCCAUUGUGUGACUUUGGGCCAGUGUUUCCAGCCAUCAUGUCAGAGCUGAGUGGAGUGGCACUGGGUGCCAAGGCAAACACCCAGCCCAGCUGUGCUGGGAAGAACUGAGCUCCAAUGUGUCUUGUGACCCAGCUCCUCCCACCCACCUGGCUGUGUCUCCUAUCCUGCAGAGAUUUCUGGGGGCUGUUUCCAGUAAACAGAUAGCUGUAAUGUUCCUCCUUGCAGUAUUUUCAACCAUGAGGGAGUUGUAGAUUACAGAGACAGCUUCCUUUAGACUGACUUGCCUGGCAGAUCAGCUAAACUGGUAAUGAAAUGAUGAUAGUGACUAUAAAUUAUUGUGUUCUUCUGAAGUACCUUUCCUCUAUAGAUCUUGCAAGAUUUCACAAAUGCUAAUUAAAUCUUUCACAAUAUCCUACAAGGUCAAAAACUUAACUUCCGUUUGAGUGGUGAGAAAGCAGAGACUAUGGUGAUUUGCCUAAGGCCACAGAGCAAACCAGCCAAGACUAAGCAGGGAGGGUGCACAGUCCCUCAGCUGGGCUGCUAAUCCAGAUGGCUUCUCUUAAGGUGCCAGCCAGGCAAUCACAAAAUUAUUCUUUCUUUCCAGAGUGCCAGCACCCACUAACCUGUAAAUAGCACCUUGUUCAGGGGGAGUGAUAUUCUUUGGUAAGUGACCGUAAACUGAUUAUACCAAGUCCUUCAAUGGAGAGAUGGUGGUUAAAAAGCAAAACUGAGGCUGGUAAAUUUUUACCAUUUCUUUGUAGACUGUAUGAUUUGGGGCCUUGCUGCUCAAAAUGUGGUCAGCAGCAUUGACAUCACCUGGGAUCUCAUUACAAAUGCAGAAUCUCAGACCUCACUCCAGAUGUGCUGGAUGAGAAUGGCCAUUUUCACAAGCUCCCCAGGAUAUGUGUGCCUGUUAAAGUUUGAGAAGCACUGAUCGGAGGACUUCGGUUAUAAUCCCACCUCCUUCUAUAAGUGAUUAAAGAAAAUUCACUUAUACUCUCCUUUGAACAGCUGUAUGCUUCUCAAUUUCUCUCUCUCUCUCUCUCUCUCACACACACACACACACACACACACUUUAUUUUUCAAUCUCUAUAGACUUGCUUCUUUGUAAGGCUCUCAAUUUCUCCUCCCCAGUGACACAAGCUUGCAUGUGGAUAUAGCUCGUCAUGGUGCCUAUUUAUCUUCAACUUUAUGCAACCUUAGCACUCUUUUACUCAGAAACCUUUUGACUGGGAGAGCAGGGCAAACUCAAAUCCCUACAGAGACCAGGAAGGCAGCAUGGAUGAGUGCAGAAAGCUACAUUUGUUUCAGAAAGGAAUCAGUGUAUAUUCUUUCAGCAGACACAUUUAGUUUGUUUCUUAUAAGCCACUAGAAGAGUCAUUACUUUCACAAAGUCAUAUGCUUAUUCCCAUUUUUCAUAAAAUAUGGCCUAUCUUCAGUUUUCCCAGUUUUGAUACAGAAAAAAAUAUAAGAAAGAUUUUCUAUUUCCUAUAACUAUAAAAGCCCACUAAUAGCACCAGCACAGCCACCCCUGGGCUUCACACAGGGAGUGGCAGGAGCUGUGCAGAUGGAGAGUGCAUACUGGUGUGAAGGGGGCAAUGGAUCUCAGCUCCAGCCAUUGUCUUCAUGCAGGAAUUUGGGACCAUUUUACCGGAUCCUCCCAUUUCUUCAAGAGAAGCCGGAAAUCUGGAUUUCUAUGUGAAAUCUCCCACUUUUUUAUGCUGGCAACUAAUUUUCUUUAAACACUGUGCCAAACAAAACAUACCUGCAGGCCAAAAUCUACACCCUCUGGGCUGGAUUUCAAUGUCUCUUAAACUCUCAACAGAGAGCAUCUUACUGUUUCAGUUCAGGGUAGAUGUCUACCCAUGGUCCCAUCGAGUGGGGUCUGGAUAUGGAAUCAGCUAGAAGAAGCAUAGUCUAUGCCCAUUCUUUCAGCAGGGACUGUGGGCAGGAAACCAUUUCCAAAGAAGCAGGCAUGAGUUGGUGGCCAUACAAAUAUAUAUGUUAUAUUGAUAAAUAUAAAAACAGGAGAUUCUGGGGGACCACAAGUUUUUACAAAUUAGGCUUAUUUUAGGAUAAAUUCACCCUUGUUAGUGUGCAGUUCUGUGAGUUUUGAUAUACAUAUGCAGUCAAGUAACCACUCCCACAAUUAAGAUACAGAAUAAUUCCAUCACCCCCCAAAUUUCUUGUAUGCCCCUUUAUAGCUAGCCCCUGACCCUAACCUCUGGCAAUCACUAAUAUAUUCUCUUUUUCUAUAGGCUUGCUUUUUUUCAAAAUGUCAUAUACAUGGAAUCACACAGUUUAUAGCCUUUUGAGUCUGGCUUAUUUUACUCAGCAUAAUGCCUUUGAGCUUUAACCAUGUAAUUUCAUGUAUCAGUAGUUCAUUCCUAUGUAUUGCUAAGUAAUUUUCCACUGUAUAGAUGCACCACAGUUUGUUUAUCCAUUCACCAAUUAAAGCCAUAAUCAACUUCCAUGUAGAAGUUUGUGUGUGAACACAGUUUUAAUUUAUUUGGGGUUACUACCUAGGAGUGAGAUUCUGGGUCUUAUGGUAAGCAUACAUUUUACUAAGAAACUAUAAAACUCUUUUCCAAAGUGGCUGAACCAUUUGACAUUUCUAACAGCAAUAUUUGAAAGUUCCCAUUGCUCUGUAUCCUCUCCAGUACUUACAUGCUCAGCAUUUUGGUUUGGUCUGGUUUCAUUGUUUCUGAGCUCUUCUGAUAGAUGUGGAGUACACCCCCAUUUUGGAUGAAUUGUGCCAAAUGUGUAGACCAUCCUCAAAAUCUAAGGUCUCAGUAAAAACAAUUAAACAUGAUUUCUGAUAUAAUGUCUUAUCCUUGAAAACCCUGACCCAUCCAUCUUCAGCACAUUCACAUGUGUAAUAAGGUAAGUGAUUUUUAAUUCCACCAGGUUUAAAGACCCCUGACGUGACUUAUUGCCAUUCUGCUACUGAGCCUUGAGAGAUUAUGGUAAGUGCCAAGAAAAAAAAAAUGACUUUGAACUGCUCUUUCACCAGUUAAAAAUAACACUGAAACCAAAUGUAAACAUAAAAGAAGUGGUCAGAUUCGGGUUACAUAUUAACGGUGUUUGGUCAGGCUGGAGCUGAGGCACAGCAGCAGAGAAUGCCUUUUACUUAUCACUGUUUCCAAACCUCCCUACCUGGACUAGGCUUGACUGGAUUUACAAGAGACCUUUUGAAAAGAUGCAGAGAAGGCAAGCAGCACACAUUUCCUGGUAAUAAAUUUUAAAGGUUGCUAAAACAUUCCAGAGAUUUUCACUCAACAUUCCUCUGGCCAACACAUCUGCAAUCUGCCAAUCCUUAAAAAUAGGUGUUUUUGCAUUUUAAUCUCACAAACAUCUUUGAAAAUGCAUUUCUUCUCUGCCCCUGUGUUGGACAAAUCCAGCUUUUUCCAUUUUCUAAAAACCACAGAAAUAUAAUGCUGCUUAAUUCAUACAAGACUGAGCUAACUGGAGUUAAAAUAAAAUUUCUGAGAGUUUGUUUGGCUCACUCUUCCCUACCAGAUGAUUCCAUUCUUAAAACGGUCCUGUGAUUAUAUUCUCUCAUUACAGAGGUGUCCAGAAAAAAAAUAAGGAGUGCAGUUCUGAAAUUAUAUAAAAGCAAAAUUAUUACUCUAAACGUAAGAGCUGUGAUAGAUCGUGUCAUUGACCAUGGUUCUUUUCCCCUGACACACACGUCCCCACCACCCACCCACUGUAUCCAUAUGCCUUUUGCCAUAUGACUUUGCAGCUCUCCCCACUAAAGGGGCAGCCAUGCGAUUUGCUUUGGCCAAUGAAAUGAGGCAGUAGUGGUGGUAUCCUAGUUCUGAGCCUAGGUCUCAAGAAGUCUUAUGUGUUUCUGCUUAUCCUCUUAUACCUCUGCCAUCACCAUGAGCCAAACAUCCCCCAAGUAGCCCACUGGUCCCAGGACAAGGAGGGAGACAUGAAGCAGAGCUCAUCCAGCUGCUGCAGCCCCACUUGACCCAGAGACCUACACUGGGAAGCAGAGCUGCCCAGUCAAGUCCAACCUGGAUGUGUGGAACCCCAGCCAACCUGAUGCAUGAGCACUCACGGCAUUGGAAGACAUCAUAAACAUUAAUGGAGAGCGGGAUGCCAGAAUAAGUUGAUCCAAAUGAUGCAGGAAUAUUUAGCAGCAAGGAGAAAGGAAUUCACAUUUCUCAGUACCCACUAUGUGCCAUACUUUGUGAUAAGAUGGUUUCCCUCCAAUAUAUCCUCAUUGUCAGCAAUGUCGGGAAACAGGAAUCAUUUCCCCUUCUACAGGUGAUAAAACUGAAGCAAGAAACAUACAGGCUAACAUCAGCUGAGCUGAGAUUUGAACUCCACUCUUUUUGACCCUGGAGCUGAUGAAUGCUGCUUCUAGAGGUUGAGUAUCCCUUAUCCGAAAUCCUUGGAACCAGGAGAUUUUUGGAUUUGGGAAUAUUUGCAUAUACAUAAUGAGAUAUCUUGGAGAUGGGACCCAAGUCUAAAUACAAAAUUAUUUUGUUGUAUAUACACCUUGUACACAUAGACUGAAGAUAAUUUUAUACAAUAUUUUAAAUAAUUUUGUGCGUGAAACAAAGUUGUGACUAUGUCUUGACUGUAAGACAUCUUGCAUGCAACCCAUCAUAUGAGGUCAGGUGCAGAAUUUUCCAUUUGUGGUGUCAUGUUAGUGCUCAAAAAUUUUCGGAUUUUGGAGCACUUCAGACUUUCGUUUUCCAGACGGGGGAUGCUCAACCUGUCUUAGAACCUGUGGUCUCCCAUCAUGCCUCCCUUCCCCAUUCCCUUGCUCCACUGGGGUCUGAGGUGGGAAAGCAAAAGGAGUUGCAGGUAACCCUCACUUUUCACACCAGGCAAUCUCUCCCCACAAUCUGUCACAUUCCUGAAGAACAAGGAAGCAGAGCACUCCACUGAAGAAAUUCUGUUAAAAUCUAUCCCCAACGUAUAAGCAUCCAUCUUUGUCCCAGUCUGGGUCUAACAUGAACAAAGUGCUUAAACAAUUCAGUAGAGGAGAAAGGGAACUUGGAGCAGCUCUGUCACCCUGAAGUGACACUGCCAUGCUGCAUUUCCUGUCUGUAAUAUCUCUUCAGAGCAAUUGUUUUCUUCUGUGAGGACACUUCAGAGAUUCACAGAGACAGAUGCUCUUGUGACUGACCAUAGCAAGUAUCAAAAGGCCUGGGUGGAAUUACGAAGCAUUUCUCGUGCACUGCGUAUUGGGAAGUGCUUCACAGCUGUGUGGCAGAUGUGAGUGGACAGAGGGGCAAGGGAACUGCCCCAAAGGAGGUGGCAGAGGAAGCAACAAGCCAGGGAUUGGCUGGCCGGUCCCAGCACAGCAACUGCAGCAGCAGCUUGCUAAGUUUCACAGGUGAAGCCAAAGGCUGGGGGGAAUGGAAAACAAAUAUCACUCCAUUAAAUUAAGGUCUGAGGAAAACAUGAUGAGGAAAGUCAAUAGUGAAUCAAAACAUUGAAAAGCCACUAACUUUGACUUUCCAUGUGCGUGUGCAAGUUCACGUGUGCAUGUGUGUCUGCAUGUCCAAGUUCUACACUGAUUCAAGAAAUAAUUAUAGAGGGCCUGCCAUAGGAUGGUGAGCAAAACAGUCUUGGCCUCUGUCCUGAUGGAGCAUGCAGUAUCACAGACUCUAUAUGUUCUAUUUCUAGGCCUUGUAUUUUGAGGAUAUAUGCCAGUGGAAUGAGAAUGGCUCUGUGACCUUGUUUAAGUCCCACCACUGUCUCAGGCAGGGUUUUCCAAAGUGUAGUCCUUAUACUAUUAUGUGGUGAAGAUGCUUAAUUGUUUUGUAAUUAUUUAAUGUGCGUAGGUAUCACAUCAAACCCAGUAUUUUCAAGGAUUUUUAUAGCUUAAGACAAGGCUUGUUAUAGGCAAGGUGGAUCAAUUCAAAAAAUAUAUGCUAACAAAAUAAUAGUGGAGGUGGUACAAAGAAACAGCAAAGGUAGUGAGAUGGCUUCACUGGUGUUUGUGAAUCACCAAGAUAAUGCACGUGGAAAUAAAAAUCAGUGUGGUCCAUAGAAAUACAAGGGGUUCUAAUUACCCCUCAGUGAGCACUUGCUCUCUCACUCACCCCAGCAAUGACAUAUUAAGCAAAGCACUGCCCUGACUGCAUAUGCUCUUGCCGACAACUUGGCCAGCAUUCAGAAGACACUAAGUGUGCUCUGGGAACUUCAGAAGGCACUAACAUUCCAUGGAGAACUUCACAAAGAGUGAGACCUAGUCCCUGGCCUAAAGAGAGUAUAAUUUAGUAGGAAAGAGAAGACAAACACACAAAUAACUGUAAAAUGGGAUAAGCCCCAAAGUGGAGGUACAAAGUCCCAUAGAAGAGGCUCAAUGAUAAGUCACGCCUGCCGGGUAAGGUCAAGAAAGACUUCAUGGAGAUUUGAGAUGGCAUCUGAGAUAAGCCAGGAAAGACGGUAGAAUUUCAACAACCAAAAAAGUGGGGAGAGGGAUGGGAGGCAUUCCAGAGAAGGAGAAAUGCUUGAGCAAUGGUACAGAGACCAGGAAGUUAUAUGAGGGCAGAAAGUCCCUGCUGUCUAUUUAGCUGGGAUAUAGAAUGCAAGUCAGUUAGAUGAUUAGGUGGGGUUAUAACAUAACUAGCCUUAAAUAGUGGACUGAGAAUUUUCCACUUAAUUUAAUGCAAAUGGCAGGGGAGGGGGCAGGCAAUGGAGAGCUGAAAACAGGACUGGAGAUGCGCUGGAGGGAAGUAACCCUGGAAAUGGGUGAAGUACGGGUUACUGUCACCCCAGCUCUGGUUCUUGUUAUUCCCUAGGAGAAGCAUAAUAGAAGUGUGAAUUUAGGGUAGCCAAAUGAUGACUUUGCAGAGGGAAUCUUUAGGACUUGUGACUUGAUUAAAAGCAGGGAGAUGGAUAGGGAACGUCCAAGGAUAACUAGAUAACUAGAGCUCUCCUGUUCCUCUGACUCAUGUGUGCUGAAACUGUAGAGUCAAACAAACACUUGUAAGUGGCGUGAUGUAAAUCCCUUAGGGGCCCAUGCCUGCCUCAAGAGAAGAACGUGUGGUCAGGAAAAACGACCGGGGGAAGUGAAAACGACACAAGACCCAGAGGAUAACCCUUAUUUUAUUCACACAUGCAAAUUUAGGCACAGCAAAAAGCAAAACGAAGUAUACCAAAUGUCAAGGGUUAAUUAUUAAUCAUUUCUAUAUUAAAUUAUGAGUUUUUCAGUAAGACACUUUUUGAUAAGAAACUUGAAUUACGUUCAUAACCAUCAAAAUAAAGAAAAUAAAAGAGACAGAUUUUCUUUGGUGGUGGGAGAACAUUAAGUAUUGUGGAAGCCUGAAAAAUGGUCCCCAAAAGAAUCUGGUCCUAAUCCUUAGAACUUGUGAGUAUUAUCUUACUUGGAAAAAGGGUUGUUUUAAGAUAAGGAUCUUGAGUUGGGAAGAUUGUCCUGAGUUAUUCAGGUAGGCUGUAAAUGCCAUCACAGGCAACCUUUUUACAUGGAUAUUUGACACAGAGUGGAGGAGACACCCAUAGGAGAAGGCUAUGUGAAGACAUAGCAUCGAGACACUUGAAGAUAUUGGCCUUCAAAUGGCACAGCCACAAGCAAAGGAAUGCCAGCAGCCACCAGGAAAAAGCAAAGAAUGGAUUCUCACCUAAAGUCUCCAGAGGGACUGUAGAGUAUCCUGCCAACACCUUGAUUUUGACUCUGUGAAACUGAUGUCAGGCUUCUGGCCUCCAGAACUGUGAGAGAAGAAAUUUCUGUUGUUUUAAACCUUCGAAUUUGUGGUAAUGUGUUAGAGCAGCCACAGGAAACUCAUAUUCUAAACUAGCAACUAUGAAAUGAGAAUUUCUAGUGUUCAGCUAAGAUACCACCGCAGAAGCAGCUGGAUAAUAUCAGAUGAGCCGAAAACUUCUCUUACCCCAUUUCCUUAUCCAUAAAAUUAGCAAAUAAUACCUGUCUUGCAGAGUUAAUUUUAAAGUUAUACAAGUAAAUACACUUUGAAAGUGACAAGUACUAGAAAAAUGUAGGGAAUUAUCCUACAAGUCUGGGUAUCCCCACCACCCAAGGCACAUGAAUGAUGCACAAUAAAAUAUACAAUUGGUUAGAAAUAGAACAAAGUGUUGAAAGUGCUUCAAAGCUCGAAAUGUAGGGCAUGAGGAAUGAAGGAAAUUCAGUUCAGGAAUAAAAUAUUUAUUCAGCAUCACUAAUAAGCCAGGCACUCUGCCAGAACCCAAAGGUAUAAAGAGGAACAAAUGAUAAUUCCUGCCCUGUGGAUGGCUUAUAGUCUAGGGUAGCAUUUUUACAGUGUGUUCACAGACCACUAAGCUCUCAAAUUUCUAUUUAAAGAUGCCAAAGGACCCAAGAUCAAGUGCUAUAUUCUAAUAUCUACCCUCUCCAUUUCCUACCCCCUCCCACAACCACACUUUCUGUAGACUCACAAUGUGUUAGUUAAUUUAAGGCAUUGAGUCCUGUUGUUAAUAAGCUGACUUGCCCUUAAUUAUCACAGGCUUUUCCAAAUUUCCUUGACAUGCACUAACCAUUUAACCUUGGGGAAAAGAAUGGAAUAACAUUCUUGCCUGCCUGUUGUAGCUGUCAUCAUAUUUAAAUGUAAUAAAACAUGGAAAGUGUUUAAUAAUUAUGGUGCUCUAGGCAAAAUAGCAGUCCUUCAAAAAUGCCCAUGCCCUAAUCUCCAGAACCUGUGAAUAUGUUACCUGACAUUGUAAAGCAACCUUGUAGGUGUGAUUAAAGUUACAAGCUCUGAGAAGAGAAAAUUACUCUGGAUUAUCUGGGUGGGCCCAGCUUAAUCAUAUGAACCCUUAAAAGUGGAGAAUGUUUUCCAGCUAAGGUCAGAGAAAGAGACUUGACAAAGGAAGAAGGGUCAUAGGGAUGUGAUACCGCUAGCUUUAGAGAUGAAGGAAGAGGACCACAGCCAAGAAAUGUGGGUAGCCUCUGAACACAAUACAAGGCAAGGACACGGGCUCUCUCCUUGAGCCUCUAGAAGGAGCACAGCCAUAAGGCAUUCUUAAACUAUGUCGCUUACCUUACCUACCUCAUCCACUUACUACUUGUAUGGCUAAUGGCAUGAGGAAGUCACUAAAACUCUCCGAGCCUUCCUGGCCUCCACUUAAAUGGGAGUGGUACCCACAGAGGGUCAGGAGGCUCAAUCAAAUCUCAAAUUCAUUAUCUCUUGCUUCUCAUGCACAAGUCAGUGUCAGCAGGAGGCAUCAGUGCUUCUGCAAAAAUAACUAAUUCAACAUUACUUUGUCAGAUCACAACCCUUCUUUGCUAAAACCUUCCAGAGGCUCCCUGUCUCACUCACAGAACAACCUCAUGGACUUCCUCUGUUCUCAGGAUUCUCAUGACACAAUAUGACCCCAUUUCCUCUGACUAUAGGUCCUUCCUCUCUCCCCCUUCCUGAUGGUGCUCCAGCCAUACUGGCCACCUUGCUGUUCCUGAGGCACACCAGGCAGCUUCCAGCCUCAGGACAUUUGCACUUGCUGUUUUCUCUGCUUAGAGCCCUCUUCCCCCAUAUCCACAUAGCUUGCUCCCUCAACUCCUUUAGAUCUUCAUUCGGCUAUUACCUUCUUCCUGAGGCCUUCCCUAACAACCCUAUGAAAAUUGCAAUACCUGCCAGCCAAACAUUCCCCAUCCUCCCUUCACUUUAAUUUCCGCCAUAGUAAUUUCAUCUUCUCACAUGCUGCAUAUUUAACUGUUUUGUUUACUUUCUUUCCUCCAUUGGAAUAUAAGCUCUAUCAGGGCUUUUCAUGAAGGACAUGCAAGUAGAUGCUUGAUAAAUAUUUGUUGGAUAAAUAAAUCAGUGCAUAUACCAAUCUGAAGUCACAAAAUCAAUAUGAGCAUCACCUUCCACUAAAGACAUAUCCUUUCAGUUAUCGAUGAAAAAUGAAGUUGAAAACACAAUAAUCAGCCUGUCAUUGAACAAUGCAGCUGCAGCUAAGAUCAAGUUCUUGACUGACUUUGCCGAGCCCAACCAAUUCAAAGGAAGAAUAAAAACAUGGUCAAGGGACCCAAGACCCAGCUCUUAUCCCCUACUCAGAGAAAACCCAGAGAGAACCAGCCUUCUGAUGUCUUGUCCUUCCUGGUUUUGACCAACCUCUAAAAACCAUAAGAACAGUUUGUCUCAGUAUUUCAGUACUUCCGCUUCCAGGCCCAGGAAAGAGCAGGAAGUGCAGGGGCGUGUGAAAAUCAAGAAAAAAGAAGAAUUAAACCCGCUACACAUGAAGCGCUCAAAGACUUCCUCUGUAACCUGUUGCAGCACACGAGUUUCAAUGUGCUUUCACUGAGAGCCCAGGGGGACUGUGCUGUCCCCAGAAUUUCGCACCAUGCCCCACACUCUCAAUGAACACUUGUUGCCUAAAAAAAAAAAAUUAAAUUUUAAGACCUUCAGUUUCUCUAUUUGUAUAAAGUGAUUAUAAAACCUACCUUAUGGAGCUGUCUGAUGAUCACAUAUGAAAUCGCAUAUGUUAAGUGCUUAUGCAGCGUCUGGCACAUGAUCAGCAUUAAUUUUAUGUGAACUGCCAUUUUGAUGGCAGUGGUGGCGAUCUGAUGGUGGAGGAGGUUUAGUUAGCGCUGGGUAGAUUGUAACAUAUACCUAUCCUUAAUGAUUUGUUCAACCUGGAAUUUUGGACGGAGCCUGGGCCUGAGGAGUUGAACCUUAGAGUGAUCCAUUUCUCUUGGAAAAGUCCUGUUCAGUUUGAGCAAGAAACUCUGGAAAGGGGAAGGAUGUAUUUUAAUCCCAGCUACCAGGGUGACAGGCAGCAGAACUGAAACAGCAUGACUAAGCACAGACCAUCUCCUUUCAUUACAUGGGGGGCUGAGGUCUUUCCUCUCUACUGCCAGGGACUGGAGAAAGGAAAGAUACCCAGUUUAAUUGCAUCUGAUAAACGGAUAGUAAAGUCCAAGAGUAGACAAUUGGAAUAUUUCCCCAGCCUUUUUCCUGUUAGGUUCUCAAAGCUAGAAAAAAAAUGCUGAAUGUCUUUUCCCUAACUUCAUAUCGCCAUAUGAAGCCCAGCUAAGUUUCCCUUGAAGUUCACUAGCCCAUUUCCUCUGUAGGUCUACAGGGGCCACCUGCCAAUGUGCAGGGAUUAAAUGAAGAAAUAAAGACCUAAGGCCUUUCUAGAAGCUAAAAACCCUAGGACUCCCUAAACACUUUGGAGUUGCAGCUCCCAUUGGUUAAGAGGUAUGGAUCGCAUAGUUUCAAGCUGAGCCAUGCUUUUCGGAAUACUCUGCUUUUUCUCAUCUUUUUCCACUAUAGUAAUACUAUAAAUGAGAUCUCUUCCAGAAAUAAAGGCAGAAAGCCCCAAGCUCGAUGCUAAAGAUGUUUGUGACAGAGUUCUGCAAGAAUAGGAUAUUUGCAGUCUCGUCUGCGAUAAUCAUUUCAGAAGUGGCUGCUGAUACUGGACUAUGUGGCAGAGGAGACUCCUGACUUUCACUUCUCUAAAUAACCAACAACUCCUCACUGUCCCUGUGUAAAGCUAUCAUGGCUGUGGGGAAGGAGAGACACUUCAAGGACAGCUCAGAGCAAAGUACCAGUUUAAAAUCUUCUCACGAGAAGAGCAGCAUCCUUCACUCAUUUGUCCUUUCACUGAGGGUGCACUACAUGUACUCACUGUGCUAGAUAUUGGGAAUACAGGGCUGAGUGAGACAUGGGCAGACUCCCUGAGAGGUAACACUCAGACUACAUCUCAAAGGAUAACUAGAUAUCCGCCAAUCAAGAUGGAGCAGCAGGCCAGGUAUACAGGCUCAGCAUCACUUUGGGCGUUGCUUUAUCUUAAAAAGCUGCCUGAACCACUUAAAGGGACCCACUGCUGCCUUCAAAAGAGUACAGUGAUAUGCAUCUUCCUGAGGUCUUUCUAAGCCACUUCUGGAGCUAGAUAUAUGUUUCUCAGAUGUCUCUGAAACAAGGUUUCCAGGCAACUACAUCUGAGGCCAUUGGUGCUGCAAUAUGACUGAAAGGAAAGAGGGUGUGUACUUCAACAGCCUUGCUGUAAGCAAGGUGGCUUCAUCCCCUCCCCCCACCUGAAAUUGAGAAACACAGAAGUGACCACAGUCCUAGGCCACUGUGUGCAAAAAUGGGAAAUGUCACUCAUCAGGUCCUCUCCCACGUUUAACCAGAAUCAUCAGCCUAUAGAUUCGGGAACUGAGUGGCUUGACCAUUUUGCACGUAAGCCAUAUGCAAUUGGUCCAAAGGAGACCAGUGAGCAACAAUUCAAUUUAGAGUUCACUGAACUCUCUGGUUUGGGAAGGAAAUUGCUAGUAAUCAAUUGCAGCAAGCAUACAGGCUCAGGGCCAGGAAGAGAAAAAUCACUUUAAUGGGCAAAGCAGAUGUUGCUAAAUUCAUUGCAAAAGUGAGAUGGGCACAGAGCCAGGCCUUGCAUGAGAGAUGCUGAUCUGUUCUCCUGAAUGAACAAAACAGAGACAUUUCAAAAAGGGGGGUUUCUAUGAAAGAAGCCAGAGGUCUGUGUCCCUGUUAGAGUAAAUAAAAGAAAAUGCACCCAGGUGUUCAGGUCCCCCAUACCACCACAGGACUUAAAGUUGUUAACAUCUUACGAGGAUUUUUAAACAAAUCCAGAAUACUAGCAAAAACUGCCUGGGGAGUCUUCAUUCGGUUCUAAGGAGAGUAUGUGGUAGAGUAGAGAGAACACGGGCUUUGGCAUCAGAUCUGUUUCUUCCAUGAAUUAGUUGCUUCCACCACCAAGAAGUUGUAUGACUUGGGCAAAGUUCUUAACACCUCUCAGUCUCAGUUUCCUCCACUGUAAAAUGGGCCUAAUGUCAUUUACCUUAUUAGAGCAGUUGUGAGGACUAGUGAUAAUGUCUGUAAAGUAUGGUAGAGAAAUGCACUUAAGCAAUAACAUGUUUUCAGAACCAUGAAAAGACUAGUGACACUAGGAUGUGGGGAGAAUUGGUUAAUGACAGGGCAGGGUGGGGUGGGAUGGGGAGAAUUUCUGGCCCAAUAUUGACCAGCUUUGGCACGUGCUCUUGGUGAAGGAUUACUUCACAGGUCACAUGUUUCUUUGCAUGCUUAGGCUGAUAAAACAUCUCUCAAGAAUAUAAGAGCUCAGCAAGUGUAGGAGCAUAGCCCAAGAAAGGUCACUGUGUGUACUUAGAACAUUUUCAUGGAGUAGCUUCAAAUGCAAGCCUCCUAAAAGAGAGUUGAUUCUGAUUCCCCAAAUCUGAAAUGUUCUUUACUUACCUAAUUCCCACUCAUCCUUCAAGGCCCAACCAGAGUCCCUCCUCUGAGAAUCAUCCCAAAUUCCUCUGGAGCUCACCAUCUCUACCUACUCACAUAUUGCCCAGUUUAUAUCAGCUGCCUUCAAUCCUUCCUGGAACAAGACAUUAAUCCCAUUCAGUAAAAACUUUAAAUGCUACUUACUCAAUUCUUUGGCCUGUCAUAGUAAAGUGUCAUACACUGAUCAUCACCUGAAUCAUGUGGUUCUACCCCAAAUACUUAGCAACUUCCUAGAGUUUAGAUAUUGAACUUGCACUAAUUAAAAUCUCUAAAUCAGAAGGCAGAGAGAGCUGAGGGCUCUGACACUUGACUAGUUGUGUGAGCUUGGGCCAAGUUUCAUGGCCUUCUCAAGCCUUAGUUCUCUCAUCUGUAUACUGGAGAUAAUAAUAGCACCUUCCUCCUAGGACUUGUGUGAGACUUUCGUGAGCUCGGUCCUGCAAAGUGCUCAGCACUACAUUGUUAGCUGAGUAGUAACAGUCACUUUCCUGAAAGCUUCUUCACCCAGAGGGGCUAGCCCAUGCCUGUGCACAAAGAAUGUCAAAUUACAUUCACACCCCCUGAGAUUUCCAAGCUACAGGCCAUUUUCACAGUGGCCACUCUCCAGAAAGCUAAGUCCUGCUGAAAGUAUGUUUCCAAGUUGCCAUCACCUUUAGAAUAUUUCUGAUAAGCAAGCAAAACUGCCUGUGGCCUUUGGCAGUGAAUUUCUGGGGGCUGGUAAGAGGAGGAUGUUUACCAGAGCACAAAGGCCAGGUCAUAAGCAGAGAAUAUUUUGGCCCAGACAGAUCCCAGAGAAGGCAUUUUUGCCAAGCACAGACUCCAUUCUCAGGUCCUGAAGUCAGCAUUAGACACUAAACAAACCUUCCCGGGUUCACAUUUGUUUACUUUUGGCCAAAUGCAACUUCCUGUUUGAAAGGAAAAGGGCAGUAAAGCUUUCUAUAGCCUUCUUGGACAUAAAGGCUCUACUUGAAACAAUUGAUUUGCUAAGGAUAAAUGAAUCAAACGUACACAAUGGGGAUCUCCCCUCCCCUCAAAAUGUUCAUGUUUCAACAGGGAAAGUGCUCAACAAAACCAAAACAAAUAUUUUUUCAACUGCUGGCCAAUGAAGAUUGUUUAGGCCAUUUCUUCUCCUGAGAGCAAGAAAAACAGACAUCAGGAGAGAGCUGAGUUACAUGUGCUGUGUCAGAGAAGUCACUGCGACACACUUGGGGGUUGAGAUUUCAGUUACACAGAAAGUCACAAAGUUGAAGUUCCCACAGCCACUCAAACCACAUUCCCUAGCAUGAACACAGAACAACCAGCUCUUUCAUUACGUGACUACGUCCCAAACCACGUCCUUCAGGAUCCUGAAAUUCCCUCGGAUGCCCAUGCGCCCUGCACCUAGGUUUGAAAACUGACUACCAACCCCACAUAAAUCCACCAUAAGAUUUUACAAGGAUUCAAAAUAACUUACUCUGUGUGAGGAGGUGGGGGAUGGGGAGGGGAGGUCUGUACUUUUAGAGCAUCUAGCAAAGUUAGCAUAAAAUAUAGACUUUAACUUGGGUUUAUAUAUAAAAUGAAGGUGCUCUCUACAAAUCUUGAAUCUCCUUGUCAUAAAAUAUUAAAUUUGUAAAGGACCUUAAAAAUCUUCUGGUCAACCUCCCCCUAUACACAAAUAUAUAAAUAAUAUAGAUGAGGAGUAAAGAGGUCGGGAGACAUUUCCUCCUUAGACUGUAGACGUCUUGCUUCUUAGGGCAAGAACUAUUUUGCUUAUCUUCUUAUUCUUUAAC
rnacentral:lncRNA from 10 species